GUGUUCAGAGGACAGCUACAAAGAAGCAGGGAGGAGGAGGAGCACUGAGGAGUUAGAGAAGCCUGUGUGGUGGCACACCCUUGGGAGACUGAGGCAGGAAGAUCAGAAGUCCGAGGCUAGCCUGAGGCUAUGUGUGCUACAUGACAAAUGACCCCAACAGCCUAGAGCAGCAGCACGAAGCCCUUCAUUAUUAUCUCACACAGCUCAUGGCAGCCAGGAACUCAGGAGCGGUGAGGAGAUCGGUUCUGGCUUGGCAUCUCUCAUGGGCUGUAGAUGCCAGCCAGGGCUGUGGUUAUCUGAAGAUGAUGUUCUGUACACUCACGUGGCUGUUGAGAUCAGAAAAGAGCUUCAGAUCCCUUGGAACUGGAAUAACAGACAGUUGUGAGCAGCCACGUGGGUUCCUGGAACCAAAGUCAGUCCUCUGCAAGAGAAGUAUUCUUAACCACUGAGCCAUCUCUCUAGCCUCCAAGGGAUGUGAUUAACCCAACAGUCUAUACUUAAAGUCUCCAAAGACCUACAACAAACAAACAACCCUAAUGAAGCGUGGUGACAUCCGUACCAAAUCUCAACAAGCCUGAACUCCAGUGAAGAACACCAUGUACAGCACACUGUCUCUAUCUCUCCACAUUCUCCAUCAGAACCCAAUCCGUCUGUGGACUAAUCCCAUCCUAGACCAGGUAUUUGGAGACUCACAGUUCCCCUUAUGGUUCAUGGUCCUCCUCUGCCAAAUGUGUUUACUUGUCCUAAUUGCCAAGACUCUGAAGCGGGGAGCGGGGGAGCGGGUGUGUGUGUGUGUGUGUGUGUGUGUGAAAACAGGACAAAAUGUGAAGACAGCUUAUGAACUGUAAAGUAUUGUUAAAAUCAAAGCCAUUACACUUAUUUUUUUCUUAAGGAAUUUUCCAAUCCAUUCUAUCCUGAGUUUAAAAAAAAAACAAAAACACUUUCUUUUAUCCUGAAAUAUUUAAUAAGCUAUAAGAAGAAUUUUGAUUUGUGGGGAAAGAUGAAACCUCAAAUUGAAUUUCUAAGUGCUUGGUUUGUGUUUAUUACUAAUUUAUUUCCUUGUUAAACUUCGGAUGAUGUGUGAUAAACUGUCUGUGUCAUGGUGCUAUUGAUUGCACUGCAUUACAAGCUGAAUUAAAUGUGCAUUACUCUGGGGCUGGUCACCGUGACGGACGCUUUAAAAGGUUUUGAGGGAGAAUAAGUGAGGACCAUUAGGGCCCUCUAGACUCUGUCCCCCGUUGACCCCUGUCACCCUGGGGAAGUUCUCCUGCAGUUUGGUCACAUGUAUAACUUUGUCUUAAUGCUUCCUCUAAUGAUGUCUAAUGGCUGCUUGGUCAUACCACAUACUUUGUAAAGAAAUAGUUGUCUCCCACAACCUUGUCUUGGGCACAUUCUAGAAGAUUAGAAUGUGUAUAACCAUGUCAAAUACAAAAAUCCAUAGUGAGUUUCUCUGUACUAGGUAAUCCUCUGUGUGAUUGAAAACAAACAAACAAACAAGCAAACCAAAA